rnacentral:rRNA from 1 species
UACGAAGGGGGCUAGCGUUGCUCGGAAUCACUGGGCGUAAGGGUGCGUAGGCGGGUCUUUAAGUCAGGGGUGAAGUCCUGGAGCUCAACUCCAGAACUGCCUUUGAUACUGAAGAUCUUGAGUUCGGGAGAGGUGAGUGGAACUGCGAGUGUAGAGGUGAAAUUCGUAGAUAUUCGCAAGAACACCAGUGGCGAAGGCGGACUCACUGGCCCGAGUACUGACGCUGAGGAGCGAAAGCCAGGGGAGCAAACGGGG